UGUGUCCCUAGCACCUAGAACAGUGUCUCGCCCGUAGUAUAGGCUCAAUAAAGUUUGCUGAAUGAAAGCUUUGUCAGAGGGUCAAAGUUGGGGAAGUGGCUGGCUUCUACAGAACAAGCCGCUUAACCAGAUGGAACUAUGAAAUCACAGUACCCCACAUCUCACCAUCAGUCGUUCCAUUUUAUCCUUCCUUCACUGUCUCCAACCUUUUGCUGCCAAUUCUAUAAAUGCUGGUUUUUCCUUGAGGUUCUGUCAUUGACCCUUUUCUAUUUUACCUUGGCAACGGUGGCCUAUCUGUUCUUUCUUGGUUUCAGUAUGUUUUCAUCUCCCAAACCUAUAGAUCUCAAUCACAGGUUUGCCCCAGACCUAUAUUUUCAACUUCCCCUGACAUUCACUUGGAUGUCCUGAGCCUCCAUCCAGUCGUAAUCUUUUUGCUGGUGGAGAGUCUUGCCUCAAUGUUGAUGGCUGCUGACCAAUCAGGGUGGUGGUUGCUGAAGGUUCGGGUCGCUGUGGCAAUUUCUUAAAAUAAGACAACAAUGAAGUUUGCCACAUCGGUUGACUCUUCCUUUCACGAACAAUUUCUCUGUAACAUGCAAUGCUGUUUGAUAGCAUUUUACCCACAGUCCAACUUCUUUUUUUUUCCUUUGAGGCAGAUUAGCCCUGAGCGAACAUCUGUCACCAAUCCUCCUCUUUUUUGCUGAGGAAGAUUGGCCCUGAGCUAACAUCCAUGCCCAUCUUCCUCUAUAUGUGGGAUGCCUACCACAUCAUGGCUUGCCAAGCAGUGCGUAGGUCUGUACCUGGGAUCCAAACCAGCGAACCCCGGGCCACCAAAGUGGAAUGUGGGAAUGUAACUGCUGUGCCACCCGGCUGGCCCCUAGAACUUCUUACGAAAUUAGUCUCAAUCCUCUCAAACCCUGCCACUGCUUUAUCAAUUAAGUUUAUGUAAUAAUCUAAAUCCUUUGUUGUCAUUUCAACAAUCUUCACAGCAUCUUCACCACGAGUAGAUCCCAUCUCAUGGAACCACUCUUUGCUCAUCCAUGAGAAGUAACUCCUCAGCCAUUAAAGUUUUAUUGUGAGAUUGCAGUCACAUCUUCACAUCUUCAGGCUCCACUUAGAAUUCUAGUUCUCUUGCUAUUUCCACCACAUCUUCAGUUACUUCCUCCACUGAAGUCUUGAAGCCCUCAGAGUCAUCCAUGAGGGUUGGAAUCAACUUCUUCCAAACCCCUGUUAAUGCUGAUAUUUUUUUCAACUUCUUCCCAUGAAUCAUGAAUGUUCUUAAUGGCAUCUAGAAUGGUGAAUCCUUCCCAGAGGGUUUUUCAAUUUACUUUGCCCAGAUUCAUCAGAGAAAUCACUGUCUAUGGCAGCUAAAGCCUUAUGAAAUGGGUAUCUUAAAUAAUAAGACUUGAAAAUUGAGAUUACUCCUUGAUCCAUGGGCUGCAGAAUGGAUGUUGGGUUGACAGGCCUGAAAACAGCAUUAAUCUCAUAGUACAGCUCCAUCAGAGUUCUUGGGUGACCAGUGCCUUGUCAAUGAGCAGUCAUAUUUUGAAAGGAAUUUUUUUUUCUGAGCAGUAGGUUUCAACAGUGGGGUUAAAAUAUUCAGUAAACCGUGUUGUAAACAGAUGAGCCAUCACCCAGGCUUCCUUGUUCCGUUUAUAGAGCACAGGCAGAGUAGAUUUAGCCCAAUUCUUAAGGGCCUUGGGAUUUUCUGAAUGGUAAGUGAACAUUGCCUUCAAAUUAAGGUCACCAGCUGUGUGAGCCCCUAACAAGAGAGUCAGCCUGUCCUUUGAAGAUUUGGAGCCAGACGUUGACUUCUCCUCUCUACCUAUGAAACUCCUAGAUAGCAUCUUCUUCUACAUUGAAAAUCUGUUUAGUGUAGCUGCCCUCAUGAAUUAUCUGAGCUAGACCUUUUGGAGAACUUGCUGCAGCUUCUGCAUCAGCACUUGCUGCUUCCCCUUGCACUUUUAGGUUAUGGAGAUGGCUUCUUUCCUUAAACCUCAUGAGCCAACUUCUACUCACUUCAAACUUUUCUUCUGCAACUUCCUUACCUCUCUCAACCUUCAUAGAAUUGAAGACAGGCCCUUGCUCUGGAUUAGUCUUUGGCUUAGGGGAAUGCUGUGGCUGGUGUUAUCUAUCCAGACCACGAACUUUCUCCAUAGCAACAUUAUAGCUGUUUUGCUUUCUUAUCAUUUGUGUGUUCACUAGAGUAAUUUCCUUCAAGAACUUUCCCUUUGCGUUCACAAGUUGGCUAACUGGCUCAAGAGGCCUAGCUUUUGGUGUAUCUCAGCUUUCGACAUGCCUUCCUCAUUAAAUUUAAUCAUUUCUAGCUUUUGAUUUAAAGUGAGAGACGUGUGGCUCUUCCUUUCACUUGAACACUUAGAGGCCAUUGUAGGGUUAUGAAUUGGCCUACUUUAGAUAUUGUUGUGUCUCAGGGAAUGGGGGGUGCCUGAGGAGAGGGAGAGAGAUGGGGAAUGGCUGGUCGGUGGAGCAGUCAGAACACACGCAACAUUUAUUGAUUAAGUUCAUCUGAUAUGGGCACAGUUCAUUGUGCCCCAAACAAUUACAAUAGUAACAUCAAAGAUCACUAUCACAGAUCACCAUAACAAAUAUAAUGGUGCCUGAAAAACUAAGUACAAAUUUACCAAGCAAGCUAUGGACUAAAAUAAUCCUACAGCUGAGAUGAAAUGACUGAUGGAUAAAAGCUGGUGCAUUUUGCUCUGGAAGGUGUCUUUGAGAACAUCAGCGAGUGUUCAUCUAUUGCUGAAUAACAAAUGACUCCCAAAAUUUAACAACUUAAAACAACAAACAUUUGUUAUCUCAGACCAUUUCUGUGCAUCAGGAAUCUGGAGUGGCUUAUUUGGGUGAUUCUGGCUCAAGGUCUCUCAAGAGGAUACAGUCAAGGUAUUGGCCUAGACUACAGUCAACUGGGACUGGAAGAUCUGUUUUCAGGAAAACUGAUUCACAUGGUUAUUGGCAAGAGGCCGCAGUUCCUUGCCAGGUUGACCUCUCCAUAGGGUUGCUUGGAUGUCAUCAUGACAUGGCAGCUGGCUUCCCCCAGAGAAAAUGAUCCCAAAGAGAACAAGACAGAAGCCACAAUGUCUUUUAUGACCUAACCUCAGAAGUCAUACACACUAUCCUGUUGGUGACACAGGUUACCCUAGUCCGUGUUGGACAGGACUCUCUAGGGAUGUGAAUACUAACAGGCCUCAGAAAUGUUGCCACAUAAGGACCGUCUUUGAAAUCACUCCUGAAGUAAGUAUAAAGCAAGAAGAGAACUGAGUCCAGGACAAAGCAAGGAGCUAUGAGGAGCAAAGGCAGGAACUGGAAAGCUGGAAAGAAUGAAUAAACUGGUCGUUGUAUUUCUCUGACAUGAAGGAAGCCACUGCAGC
rnacentral:lncRNA from 1 species